UCUGGUUGAUCCUGCCAGUACGCCAUGCUCUUCUGUAAGACUAAGCCAUGCAUGUGUAAGUUCAUACGAGUAAAAAGUGAGACUGCGGAUGGCUCAGUAUAUCAGUUAUAACCUAUUCGAAAGUGACCCAUUGGAUAACCGUGGGAAAUCUAGAGCUAAUACAUGUGAAAACACGUGGUAGCAAUGCCGCGUGUAGCAUUUAUUGGACGUAACCAAAUGCCGUUCGGGUGACCGGGCGGUAGGGUGAAUCUAGAUAACUGAGCUGAUCGCAUGGCCUAGAGCCGGCGACAUUUCGAUUGGAUUUCUGCCCUAUCAACUUGUUGAUAAGGUAGUGGCUUACCAAGGUUGCAACGGGUAACGGGGAAUCUCGGUUCGAUUCCGGAGAGGGAGCCUGAGAAACGGCUACCACAUCCAAGGAAGGCAGCAGGCGCGUAAAUUACCCAAUCCAGACAAUGGGAGGUGGUGACCAGAAGUACCGGGUGGUAUUUAUACCAAUCCUGGAAUGAGCAUAGAGUAAAAAUUUAGUCGAGUAACAACUGGAGGGCAAGUCUGGUGCCAGCAGCCGCGGUAAUUCCAGCUCCAGUAGCAUGUCGUAAAGUUGUUGCGUUUAAAACGCUCGUAGUUGGAUGAGAUGGCAUGGGUGAGUUAGCUGACCGUUGCAGGCCAAUUGCAAGCAGUGUAAGGCGACAGUUAAGUCUGACGAAUUGCAUUGUGAGUAAAGUCUGUGCGGUGAGUUUUUGGCUCUACCGUGCUAAUUGCAUGUGAGAAUGGUGGUUGGCCUUAAGUGCGUCGGCCAUAAUGUCUCACGGGGUGUGCCUUGAACAAAUCAGAGUGCUUAAAGCAGGCUUUUGCCUGAAUGAUUCAGCAUGGAACGAGCAAACGUGUAAGUGACUGUUGGCACGCAUGCUUUUGUGUGUCAGCAGGUCACAUCACCAACCACAAUACGGGUGUUGGUUACCGUGUAGAGGUGAUGAUUAAAACGAGCGGUUGGGGGCAUUGGUAUUUGGCCGCGAGAGGUGAAAUUCUUAGACCGGCCAAGGACUAACAAAAGCGAAGGCAUUUGCCAAGACCGUCUCGAUUGAUCAAGAACGAAAGUGAGAGGAUCGAAGAUGAUCAGAUACCGUCCUAGUUCUCACUGUAAACGAUGCCGACCCGGGAUCAGCUUAGAGUUAUUGUAAACGCUCCAGGUUGGUCCCCCUGGGAAACCUAAAGUCUUUCGGUUGCGGGGGGAGUAUGGUCGCAAGGCUGAAACUUAAAGGAAUUGACGGAAGGGCACCACCAGGGGUGGAGCCUGCGGCUUAAUUUGACUCAACACGGGAAAACUUACCUGGUCCGGACAUCAAAAGGAUAGACAGACUAACAGCUCUUUCUUGAUAUGGUGAUUGGUGGUGCAUGGCCGUUCUUAGUUCGUGGAGUGAUCUGUCAGGCCAAUCCCGGUAACGAACGAGACCACAUUCUCCAUUUGACGAGCUGAAGCAAAUGCCGGUUGUGCUUCAUUCCGGCAACGGGGUGAUUCGGAAUCGGUGUUGUAGGCAUUGCUUGUUGGCUGUCGUCCUGCGAGGUUUGCUUGCAUUCCGAGUGGGGUUGCAGUUGGUGGGCUUUCCCUUCACCCACGCAACACGCGACUCGUGAGGGUUAUGUGUUGUAUCAUGGAGAGACAACGGAAUAUAUUUCAAAAUCCGAGGAAUGUGGGUAUACAUGUCUGUGAUGCCCUUAGAUGUUCAGGGCUGCACGCGCGCUACAAUGGCAGCGACAACGAUAACAUGAUCGAGAGAUCCUGGUAAUCCUUGCAUCGCUGGCGAUGAUGGGAUCGACGUUUGUAAAUACGACGUGAAAGAGGAAUCCCUAAUACGUGCGAUUCAUGAAAUCUCGUGCAUGUACUCCCUGCCCUCUGUCAUCCCGUCCUGUCGCUACUACGAGCGAAUUAUGUCAUAAUGCCUUGUGAGCGGACGUCACGACGGUCGUUUGAUCGGAGUGAUGCUGCGAUCAGUGUAGAAUG
rnacentral:rRNA from 1 species